rnacentral:rRNA from 1 species
GGAUCCCAACGGCUAGUCGACAUCGUUUACGGCGUGGACUACCAGGGUAUCUAAUCCUGUUUGCUCCCCACGCUUUCGCACCUCAGUGUCAGUAUCAGUCCAGGUGGUCGCCUUCGCCACUGGUGUUCCUUCCUAUAUCUACGCAUUUCACCGCUACACAGGAAAUUCCACCACCCUCUACCGUACUCUAGCUCAGUAGUUUUGGAUGCAGUUCCCAGGUUGAGCCCGGGGAUUUCACAUCCAACUUGCUGAACCACCUACGCGCGCUUUACGCCCAGUAAUUCCGAUUAACGCUUGCACCCUUCGUAUUACCGCGGCUGCUGGCACGAAGUUAGCCGGUGCUUAUUCUGUUGGUAACGUCAAAACAGCAAGGUAUUAACUUACUGCCCUUCCUCCCAACUUAAAGUGCUUUACAAUCCGAAGACCUUCUUCACACACGCGGCAUGGCUGGAUCAGGCUUUCGCCCAUUGUCCAAUAUUCCCCACUGCUGCCUCCCGUAGGAGUCUGGACCGUGUCUCAGUUCCAGUGUGACUGAUCAUCCUCUCAGACCAGUUACGGAUCGUCGCCUUGGUAGGCCUUUACCCCACCAACUAGCUAAUCCGACCUAGGCUCAUCUGAUAGCGUGAGGUCCGAAGAUCCCCCACUUUCUCCCUCAGGACGUAUGCGGUAUUAGCGCCCGUUUCCGGACGUUAUCCCCCACUACCAGGCAGAUUCCUAGGCAUUACUCACCCGUCCGCCGCUGAAUCCAGGAGCAAGCUCCCUUCAUCCGCUCGACUUGCAUGUGUUAGGCCUGCCGCCAGCGUUCAAUCUGAGCCAGGAUCAAACCCUC